rnacentral:rRNA from 1 species
GCGAUGGUUGUCGUCAGGCUCGUGUCGUGAGAUGUUGGGUUAAGUCCCGCAACGAGCGCAACCCCUACGUUUAGUUGCUAACGCGUGAAGGCGAGCACUCUAGACGAACUGCCGUUGACAAAACGGAGGAAGGUGGGGAUGACGUCAAAUCAUCAUGCCCCUUAUGUUCUGGGCUACACACGUGCUACAAUGGCCGGUACAGACGGACGCAAAGCCGCGAGGUGGAGCAAAUCCUAAAAAGCCGGUCUCAGUUCGGAUUGCAGGCUGCAACUCGCCUGCAUGAAGUCGGAAUCGCUAGUAAUCGCAGGUCAGCAUACUGCGGUCGAAUACGUUCCGGGCCUU